GACUCCGUAGCUCAGCUGGUAGAGCAAUUGACUCUUAAUCAAUGGGUCGACAGUUCGAACCUGUCCGGGGUCA
rnacentral:tRNA from 1 species